AGAGUUUGAUCCUGGCUCAGGACGAACGCUGGCGGCGUGCUUAACACAUGCAAGUGGAGCGACGAACCGGGCUUCGGCCCGGGGCAAAGCCGCGAACGGGUGAGUAUCACGUGGGUAACCUGCCCCGAUGACCGGGAUAACCCGAGGAAACUCGAGCUAAUACCGGAUGUGCUCCCAAUCCAUCAGGGUUGGAAGUAAAGGAAGCUUCGGCCUCCGCAUUGGGAUGGGCCCGCGGCCCAUUAGCUUGUUGGUGAGGUAACGGCUCACCAAGGCAACGAUGGGUAGCUGGUCUGAGAGGACGAUCAGCCACACUGGGACUGAGACACGGCCCAGACUCCUACGGGAGGCAGCAGUGGGGAAUCUUGCGCAAUGCGCGAAAGCGUGACGCAGCAACGCCGCGUGAGGGAAGAAGGCUUUCGGGUUGUAAACCUCUUUCAGGAGGGACGAAGGUUCAGGCGCGAAUAGCGUCCUGGACUGACGGUACCUCCAGAAGAAGCCCCGGCUAACUACGUGCCAGCAGCCGCGGUAAUACGUAGGGGGCUAGCGUUGUCCGGAAUCAUUGGGCGUAAAGCGCGCGUAGGCGGCCCGGUAAGUCCGCUGUGAAAGUCAAAGGCUCAACCUUUGAAUGUCAGCGGAUACUGCCGGGCUAGAGUCCGGAAGAGGCGAGUGGAACUCCUGGUGUAGCGGUGGAAUGCGCAGAUAUCAGGAAGAACACCAACGGCGAAGGCAGCUCGCUGGGACGGAACUGACGCUAAGGCGCGAAAGCGUGGGGAGCGAACAGGAUUAGAUACCCUAGUAGUCC
rnacentral:rRNA from 1 species